CACAAAAGUGCUUCAUAUUCAUUUAUUUGAAUCAGCAGUCUGCUUGUUAAUUUCUGGCAAACAGGCGUGAAUUUCAAAAGCAUUUCAGUCCCACUCUGGGGAGCCAGAGCUUUCAUUCUUCCUACAACAUACUAAAACAAAUGUUGAUAUCACAAAAAGAAGAGACUAAAAGGACAAGGAUUCAAGCUUUGUGACAUGGAGUGUUGCCCUCCCUAAAAACUUGGUCAGUGUUACAGAAUUACAGAGUAGGCUUUUCUGAUCAUUUGGAUUUGUGCCUGCACAGAGAAGUUUCCCUUACCCACUGGGACAUGCUUGUGGAGGGAGUUACCACUGCAUUAACUCUUCUAGUCACCUCAAGCUAGUUUCAGGGUCUCUUCCUUGUGCCUCUUUCAGGUACUGACAUGAUCCCCAUCAUCACCAUGCUUGGGCACUUCUCAGUGGAUGAUCCCAGCAAUAUCCUUGUGAGGUACCUUUGGACCCUGCUGACACCAGGAGCACUUCUGACUUGGGAACACUUCUGAACUACAGAACACUUACACGAGAGGGAUGGAUCUCAUCUAGACACAAAGAGAAAUGGGCAUCUGGCUAUGAGCAUUCAGUGUGGCCUUCUGUGCCUCCCAAGUAUUUGUCAUACAGGACUGUAACCAAACAUCUGCAUGCAACUUGGCCAAAAGUGCUCCCUGUUGUCUGGGUCAAGAGAGCUGCUGAACCAGUACCUUUGAGAGCCUUUUACAGUCCCUACUUCAAGAAGGAGAGGCACUGUCAGGGCACCACCAGCCCAGCCUGUCCCUGCCCAGCAUUUCCUGGGGCUCCCCCAACCCUGUUCUGGUUCCUGGAGUCCUUUCCAGCCCCCCAGAGCCAUCAGCCUCUACCCAGAACACAGAAAUAGGGCCAGACUCAAGUUCCCCACAGCCCUGCCUGGCCAUGGUCCCACUGCCCCAGGGAGGUGUCCAGUGCCCAGAGUUGGGGCUGAGCCCAGAGCCCCUCUCCAGGCCUGAUCCUGAUCCCCCCUGCAGACUGACUUCUUGGCCUUGCCUGUGUGUGUGUAUGGCAGGGAGCUGAGGUUUGUGGAAAAUUAAAAAUUAAAAUGAGCAGACAAAUUCAUUGCAUUUUG